UACAGAGGGGGCAAGCGUUGUUCGGAAUUACUGGGCGUAAAGGGCGCGUAGGCGGCCUUCUAAGUCGAACGUGAAAUCCCCGGGCUCAACCCGGGAACUGCGUCCGAUACUGGAAGGCUUGAAUCCGGGAGAGGGAUGCGGAAUUCCUGGUGUAGCGGUGAAAUGCGCAGAUAUCAGGAGGAACACCAAUGGCGAAGGCAGCACUCUGGGACGGUACUGACGCUGAGGCGCGAAAGCGUGGGGAGCAAACAGG
rnacentral:rRNA from 1 species